UGCCUUUUAGUUUAUUAAAAACAUUGUAUUUGUAAUACGAAAAAAAGGUUUCUUAGAGGCAA
rnacentral:tRNA from 1 species